UACGUAGGGGGCAAGCGUUGUUCGGAAUUACUGGGCGUAAAGCGCACGUAGGCGGCUUUGUAAGUUAGAGGUGAAAGCCCGGAGCUCAACUCCGGAAUUGCCUUUAAGACUGCAUCGCUUGAAUCAUGGAGAGGUGAGUGGAAUUCCGAGUGUAGAGGUGAAAUUCGUAGAUAUUCGGAAGAACACCAGUGGCGAAGGCGACUCACUGGACAUGUAUUGACGCUGAGGUGCGAAAGCGUGGGGAGCAAACAGG
rnacentral:rRNA from 1 species